rnacentral:rRNA from 1 species
GACGAACGCUGGCGGCGUGCUUAACACAUGCAAGUCGAACGCUGAAGCUCAGCUUUUGUUGGGUGGAUGAGUGGCGAACGGGUGAGUAACACGUGAGUAACCUGCCUCCUUCUUUGGGAUAACGCCCGGAAACGGGUGCUAAUACUGGAUAUUCACUGGUCUUCGCAUGGGGGUUGGUGGAAAGGGUUUUUCUGGUGGGGGAUGGGCUCGCGGCCUAUCAGCUUGUUGGUGGGGUGAUGGCCUACCAAGGCUUUGACGGGUAGCCGGCCUGAGAGGGUGACCGGUCACAUUGGGACUGAGAUUCGGCCCAGACUCCUACGGGGGGCAGCAGUGGGGAAUAUUGCACAAUGGGCGCAAGCCUGAUGCAGCGACGCCGCGUGAGGGAUGGAGGCCUUCGGGUUGUGAACCUCUUUCGCUCAUGGUCAAGCCGCAACAAUGGUUGUGGUGAGGGUAGUGGGUAAAGAAGCGCCGGCUAACUACGUG